rnacentral:rRNA from 1 species
AGAGUUUGAUCCUGGCUCAGAACGAACGCUGGCGGCAUGCCUAACACAUGCAAGUCGAACGAAGGCCCGGCUUCGGCCGGUCACCUUAGUGGCGGACGGGUGAGUAACGCGUGGGAACCUGCCCAGCGGUACGGAAUAACCACGGGAAACUGUGGCUAAUACCGUAUGCGCCCUACGGGGGAAAGAUUUAUCGCCGUUGGAGGGGCCCGCGUCGGAUUAGCUUGUUGGUGGGGUAACGGCCUACCAAGGCUACGAUCCGUAGCUGGUCUGAGAGGAUGAUCAGCCACACUGGGACUGAGACACGGCCCAGACUCCUACGGGAGGCAGCAGUGGGGAAUAUUGGACAAUGGGGGCAACCCUGAUCCAGCAAUGCCGCGUGAGUGAAGAAGGUCCUAGGGUUGUAAAGCUCUUUCACCCGUGAAGAUGAUGACGGUAGCGGGAGAAGAAGCCCCGGCUAACUCCGUGCCAGCAGCCGCGGUAAUACGGAGGGGGCUAGCGUUGUUCGGAAUUACUGGGCGUAAAGCGCGCGUAGGCGGCUUCUUAAGUUGGGCGUGAAAGCCCGGGGCUCAACCCCGGAAAUGCGCCCAAAACUGAGGGGCUCGAGACCGGGAGAGGAGAGUGAAUUCCCAGUGUAGAGGUGAAAUUCGUAGAUAUUGGGAAGAAACACAGUGGCGAAGGCGGCUCUCUGGCCCGGUACUG